CCCUGGGGUUCCCCCUGCCGCCCAGCCCCGUGCCACAGUGCCCUGUCCCAGGGCAGCCUGUCCCCAGCAUGGACGCUGGGCUGGGCUGGUGAGGGUGCGGUGCCACAGGAGCCGGGUGGCAGCCCCUGGCAGCGUUUGUCCCCGGGCUGCUUGCAGCCGUGCCCAGGGCUGUGGCUCUGCCGCUCCCCGGCUGCACCUCGGCUUUCAGCCCCCAGUCUGGAGAGACGUGCUCAGGAAAUGUGCGCUCGGGAGAACAGGGAUGUUCGUGCUCUCGUCCUGCAGCCCUGCUCCCCUCGCUUGAGCCGCAGGUCCCCAGCCUGCAGGAACAUGCAGGGGUAGCACUGGUGCAGCCUUUCCCAGGGUCUUGUCCACCAGAAGCACGGACAGUCGCUUUUGGGGUUCCAAAUUUUAGCCCUUCCUCUGGGAUGUGGAAACUUCUCUGACCUGUGCUUGAUUCCAGGCUAUGGCGCUGGCGGCGCUUAUCGAGCUGCUCAGCUGGACCCUGGUUAUGAGCCUUGGGGGCGUCCCAGACGUAAGUUGCCAAUGUCUGUCUGCUUGAGGGAAUAACACUUCUGUUUUAAGAGGUUAUUCGUGUGCAAUUUUACCAAACCUCCUCUUCAGGACUUGCAAGACCUUUUUGUGCCUUGGGGCUGUUGCACAGCUAAGUAAUGAAUAUUUCUUGACCGCAGGAGCUGCCAGGUCUCAGCAAAAAGGUCACCCGUGUUUCCUAUUAGCUGAGGGCACCUCCCCCUUUCCACGUGUCCCGUGUAAUUGCCGCAGCCCCUUCCAGUCAGCGCAGGUGACUAAGAAGUAGAUCACAACGCACCCUGGAAACUCCUUCCCUGUGCUGGAUUCCCUGUUUGGUUCCUGCAGUUGGUGGUGAUGAAGCCACUUGGUGGAAUCCGAGCCUGGGGGAUAUCCCGGGGAUAAGUGUUCAGUCUUCAUUGGUUCCUGGCCUUUUGCAUUUGUUAAUAUGUGAUUUACUAUUUGUUAACAUUUCGUUGGGAUAAUUGCGCCUUGCAAUAGCCAGCAGGCUCUUCUCCUCAAGCAUCGUGCAUCAUCAUGUUUCCCUCUGGUGCUCCGUGCUCCCACUUCUGUGUGGGCUUCCUUGAGUGUGUGUGAGGGGUCUCCUGGCCAGAAGGCCCAGAGAGGCCCCAUGUUUGUCCCUCUGCGCCUUGAGGGGUGUUGCUCAUGGCCUGGAGACAGUGGUUUGGAAGCUGUCAGGUCCCAGCCAAGAGGUCCCCAGGCCCCUGUGCAGCUUUGGCCAUCUCAGCCUGCUUCUGGCUCCCAUGUUGUUUCCUGACGCCCUUCCAGUCACUGCAGGUCACCGAGGAAGAGGCCGAUCACAACGUGCAAUGGAAACGCUUUUCAUUUCUGCUUGAUUGCAGCUGUCCCUGUAGGCAGCAGCUACUUGACUUCUCAGCUGGAGCCUGUCCGUGAGCCUCUGGAGGAUCCCACGGGUAUGUCCCCUGAAGGAAUGAGCACUUCCACGUUAGUUUUCCGUUCCGGUGCAAUUUAGCUUGCUCCUUUGUUGGCCGAUGCUGGGGCCCGCAGCAGAGCAGUGUGUGGGUCCGGCUCACUGCUGUGCGCGGGGGGCUCUGAAUGACACAUUGAUUGCACUAGAUGCACUCCCAAAAGCCCAGGCUGUGUUUCUAAGCUCUAUGACCGUGUUUGGAGAGUACUGGCUCCUGAAGUACAGUGUUCCUGAUGAGGAUGUUACUUCUCAUGAAACCGUCCUGCUUUCUUUCCAAAGAGAUGGACUACGAGACUGAGCAGAAGACCUUUCCGAGGGGAAGCAGUCACUCAGUGCCAGCGUCAGAUGAAGAAACGGAGACAAUGGCAGCCACUGGCACGCCAGGGGCGGGCGCUGGGACAAAGGCUGAGGCUGCCGCUCUGGAGGGUCUGCGCGAGCACUACAUCCCCGUGACUGCAGCGGUCCUGGCUGUGCCGCUGUUUGCUGUAGUGGCGGCUUGCAUCGUCAUCUCACGGCUGAGGAAGAGAGCCCCGAGGAGCCAGGGAGACGAAGCAGCAGCAGAACAAGUCGACGCUGCCUCUGCCUGGAAAAGGGAAGAUCAAACUAAAGAUCAAGGCCAAGCAGAGUCAGGAGAAGAAACACAAAAGGGAGAGACUACCCAGGAAAGCGAGCUUUUCUGCAACAGCUCCAGCCCAUCCCCGUGGAUCUUUGCAGUUGAGCUCGCCCAGCUGUACAGGAACAUGAGCGCAGACGCCUCAGCUCUGCCCGUUCCCAGCUGCUCUCUCCCUCGUGGGGCCUCUUCA